GUAGGUGAACCUGCGGAAGGAUCAUUCAUAAUAAGUGUUUUAUGGCACUUUUUAAAUCCAUAUCCACCUUGUGUGCAAUGUCGGUCGAUCUUCUUCAUGGAGAUUGACCAAACAUCAACCUUUAUCUUUUAACUCUUUGUCUGAAAAAUAUUAUGAAUAGACAAUUCAAAAUACAACUUUUAACAACGGAUCCCUUGGUUCUG
rnacentral:misc_RNA from 1 species